AUUGAACGCUGGCGGCAGGCUUAACACAUGCAAGUCGAGCGGGGUGAUGGUGCUUGCACUAUCACUUAGCGGCGGACGGGUGAGUAAUGCUUAGGAAUCUACCUUUAGCUAGGGGACAACAGUCAGAAAUGACUGCUAAUACCGUAUACGACCGAGGCGCAAGCCCGGUGAAAGCUUUAGCGACGAAAGAUGAGCCUAUGCCUGAUUAGCUAGUUGGUGAGGUAGAAGCUCACCAAGGCAAUGAUCAGUAGCUGGUCUGAGAGGAUGAUCAGCCACCCUGGAACUGAGACACGGUCCAGACUCCUACGGGAGGCAGCAGUGGGGAAUAUUGGACAAUGGGCGAAAGCCUGAUCCAGCCAUGCCGCGUGAGUGAUGAAGGCCUUCGGGUUGUAAAGCUCUUUAGUUGGGGAAGAUAAUGACGGUACCCAAAGAAUAAGUCACGGCAAACUCUGUGCCAGCCGCCGCCGUAA
rnacentral:rRNA from 1 species